UAGAAAAAACCUGAAUGUGAGACCGACUCGGCAAAGAGAGAGGAAAGUCAACCAAGUGUUCAAUCUAUUAAAUAGACUAUUUUUCUUUCAUUAAAGUUUACAGAUAAGUAAGAUAUUGAAAGGGGCAGAAUGCUUUCUAAGCUAGACUUUCUCCUUACGUCCUUCGGGGCCUUAUGUUUCAAAAAAGAGUCCCCACUUGUACUGUAUGUACUGACUGCCUGCCUCAAUGCCUGCUGACGUACUGGUCAUUUUACUG
rnacentral:lncRNA from 1 species